AGUGCCGGCGGCGGCAGUGGACGCGGAAGUGGCGGCAGCACGUGGUUCCCAGAGUGCCCUGCGGUUGUUGGGUUCCAAUUCCGUGGGGACGGACAAAGGCAGCUGUGAGCGCCGGGCAACGCCCAGUCGGGUGGUGCGCUCGCCACUGCCCUCAAUCCGGGCCUUGAAAACUGGGACUAACUUGUCUCCGUGAGUAGGAGACCACGGGCACCGAGGCCCAGUGAGGGCCUGAGAGGCUGAGGCCGCUGUCUGAGGGCAAGGGGGCGGGGCGUGGCCCGCCUGAGUUGAUUGGGUGGGUCAAUUCUGUGGCGACUUAGUGGGCUACUGUGAGGUAAUUUGACUCACUACCCUGAGGAGAUUGGGGCGCACAGCAAGCUAGGUUUGAUCUGGGCUUUGAAAACGGAAAUUGGUCUUCAGCGCUUAGGAAAUCUUUCAGUUGGCAGGUGGUGAAGCCGAAACUAACGCCAUAUGCACUCGAGCAACAUCGUGGUCGCCAGUUUGGGGCUUAUUUAAGGAUCCUGGGAUCACUGAUGGCGAAGACAUGUGUGGCUGUCCAGUUUUAUGACUGAAGUUGCUAGACUUCCGGAUUGUGGUUAAAGAACUGGAGACAUCACCACACUCAUGGCUUUCACGAAUUACAGCAGUCUGAAUCGAGCUCAGCUAACCUUUGAAUGCCUACAUACAAAUUCAGCCACUCAUGAAUCCUUGUUUGGUGCUCUUGCUGAACUAGUUGAUAAUGCAGGAGAUGCUGAUGCCACGAGAAUUGAUAUUUAUACAGAAAGGCGAGAGGACCUUCGAGGAGGAUUUAUGCUUUGUUUUUUGGAUGAUGGAACAGGAAUGGAUCCAAGUGAUGCUGCCAGCGUGAUCCAGUUUGGGAAGUCGGCCAAGCGAACGCCUGAGUCCACCCAGAUUGGGCAGUACGGGAAUAGGUUAAAGUCGGGCUCGAUGCGCAUCGGGAAGGAUUUUAUCCUCUUCACCAAGAAGGAAGACACCAUGACCUGCCUCUUCCUGUCACGCACCUUUCAUGAGGAGGAGGGCAUUGAUGAGGUGAUAGUCCCAUUGCCCAAUUGGAAUGCUCGAAACCGGGAACCUGUCACAGACAACGUGGAGAAGUUUGCCAUUGAGACAGAACUCAUCUACAAAUAUUCUCCCUUCCGCAAUGAAGAGGAGGUGAUGGCUCAGUUCAUGAAGAUUCCUGGGGACAGUGGAACGCUGGUAAUCAUCUUUAACCUCAAACUCAUGGAUAACGGAGAGCCAGAGCUGGACAUAAUCUCAAAUCCAAGUGAUAUCCAGAUGGCAGAGACUUCCCCGGAGGGCACCAAGCCAGAGCGCCGCUCCUUCCGUGCCUAUGCUGCCCUGCUCUACAUUGAUCCCCGGAUGCAGAUCUUCAUCCAUGGGCACAAGGUGCAGACCAAGAGGCUCUCCUGCUGCCUGUACAAGCCCAGGAUGUACAAGUACACAUCAAGCAGGUUCAAGACCCGCGCAGAGCAGGAGGUGAAGAAGGCUGAGCACGUGAUGAGGAUUGCUGAAAAGAAGGCCCGGAAGGCAGAAAGCAAAGCUCGGACGUUGGAAGUGCGCCUGGGCGGAGAUCUCACACGGGACUCCACGGUGAUGUUGCGACAGGUCCAGAACACAGCCAUUACUCUGCGCAGGGAAGCCGACGUCAAGAAGCGGAUCAAGAAGGCUAAGCAGCGAGCACUUAAACAACCUAAGGAACUGAACUUUGUUUUCGGGAUCAACAUCGAACACCGGGACCUGGAUAGAAUGUUCAUCUACAACUUUAGCCGCCUGAUCAAGAUGGCUUGUAGUGGGGUUGUUGGGGUCGUCCAUGUGCCCUACCUGGUCCUGGAGCCCACACACAACAAGCAGGACUUUGCGGACGCCAAGGAGUACCGGCACCUGCUGCGGGCCGUGGGGGAGCAGCUGGUACAGUACUGGAAGGACAUCGCCAUUGCCCAGCGGGGAAUCAUCAAGUUCUGGGAUGAGUUUGGCUACCUCUCUGCCAACUGGAACCAGCCCCCAUCCAGUGAGCUGCGCUGCAAGCGGCGGCGAUCCAUGGAGAUCCCAACCACCAUCCAGUGUAAUCUGUGUCUGAAGUGUCGGACACUUCCCUUUCAGCUGAAUUCUGUGGAGAGGGAUUACCCUGACACUUGGGUUUGCUCCAUGAACCCUGAUCCUGAGCAGGACCGGUGCGAGGCCUCUGAGCAGAAGCAGAAGCUCCCCCUGGGGGCUCUGAGAAAGGACCCGAAGAUGCAGGAGGAGCGGCAGAAGCAGCUGACGCAGAAAAUCUGCCAGCAGCAGGAGAAGCUGGAGGCCCUGCAGAAAACCACACCCAUUCGCUCCCAGGCUGACCUGAAGAAACUGCCCUUGGAAGUGACCACCAGACCUCCCUCUGAGGAACCUGCACGUAGACCUCAGUGUCCUUGGUUGCCUCCUUUACCUGCUGUGAUGAAGAAUGCCCCGAGCAGACCCCCUUCCCUUCAAGCUCCCAGACGAGCCAGCCGGCCCAGAAAGGCUCCUGUCAUCAGUAGCACCCCAAAGCCUGCUGCCCCGGCCGCCCGGGAGGAGGCCAGCACUUCCCGGCUACUCCAGCCUCCCGAGGCACCCCGGAAGCCUGCCAACACUCUGGUCAGGCCUGCAUCCCGGCCCAGCCCACCGGUGCAGCCACCGUUACCAUCUCCCCAGCACAACUCCAGGAGCCCUCGGGAGGUCCCUUCCCCCCGAGUCCUGAAGACUCCAGUGGUCAAGAAGCCAGAGCUGCCCGCUAAACUCUCCCCGCAGCCCACUCCUGGUCGGAAGCGGAGCCUCGGGGUCUCUGAUGAGGAAGAAACAGAGGAAGAGGCUGAGAAGAGGAAGGAGAGGUCCAAGAGGGGCAAGUUUGCUGUGAAGGAGGAAAAGAAGGACUUGAAUGAGCUCUCAGACAGUUCUGAGGAAGAGGACUCGGCUGACCUCAAGAUCGCUCAGAAAGAUAAAGGGCUGCACGUGGAGGUGCAUGUGAAUAGGGAGUGGUACACAGGCCGUGUCACAGCUGUGGAGGUGGGCAAGAAUGUGGUGCGGUGUAAGGUGAAAUUUGACUAUGUGCCCACGGACACCCCACCAAGAGACCGCUGGGUGGAGAGAGGCAGCGAGGACGUGCAGUUGAUGAAGCCCCCGUCCCCAGAGUAUCAGAGCCCGGACACACGUCAGGAGGGCCGGGAAGAGGUGGUGGUGGCGGCGGCCCCAGCAGGGGAUUCGGUAGCCCAGCAAGCUGUAGCCACGGCAGAGCCCUCCACCUCGGACUGCAUCCCCAUCAAACCUGACACCACCGCCCCCAGCACCAGCCACGAGACCGUUGACCUCCUCGUCCAGAUUCUUCGGAAUUGUUUACAGUACUUCCUGCCUCCAAGUUUCCCCAUCUCUAAGAAGGAGCUGAGUGCUAUGAAUUCAGAUGAGCUGAUAUCGUUUCCUCUGAAAGAGUACUUCAAGCAAUAUGAAGUCGGGCUGCAGAACCUGUGCCAUUCCUACCAGAGCCGCGCCGACUCGCGGGCCAAGGCCUCUGAGGCGAGCCUGCGCACCUCCGAGAGAAAGCUGCGUGAGACGGAGGAGAAGCUGCAGAAGCUGAGGACCAACAUCGUGGCACUCCUGCAAAAGGACAUAGACAUUAACACAGGCGACGAGCUGGAUGCCUACAUCGAGGACCUGAUCACCAAGGGGGACUAGGCCCGGAGCCAGAGAUCAGCUCCCCUGCCCCUCAAGGCAGAGCUCCUGAAGGUGGCGUUUCAUUUAUGGGUUGCUGGACUUAUCUUGGUUUGACUCAUGGGAUAUUUGUGCUUUGGGUGGGAAAGAAACUCUGAUUCUUUGAAUCUUCCACCCUAAGUUUAUAAAUAUUAAUUUUUUGAAAGAACCAAAAAAUAAAAAAUUUAAAAAAUAAA